CCUACGGGAGGCAGCAGUGAGGAAUAUUGGUCAAUGGGCGAGAGCCUGAACCAGCCAAGUCGCGUGAGGGAGUACUGCCCUAUGGGUUGUAAACCUCUUUUGUCGGGGAGCAAAAGCCGGACGUGUCCGGCUGUGAGAGUACCCGAAGAAAAAGCAUCGGCUAACUCCGUGCCAGCAGCCGCGGUAAUACGGAGGAUGCGAGCGUUAUCCGGAUUUAUUGGGUUUAAAGGGUGCGCAGGCGGAUUUUUAAGUCAGCGGUAAAAUCGUGGGGCUCAACCCCAUCCAGCCGUUGAAACUGGGGAUCUAGAGUGUGCGAGAGGUAUGCGGAAUGCGUGGUGUAGCGGUGAAAUGCAUAGAUAUCACGCAGAACCCCGAUGGCGAAGGCAGCAUACCGGUGCACAACUGACGCUCAGGCACGAAAGCGUGGGUAUCGAACAGGAUUAGAUACCCCGGUAGUC
rnacentral:rRNA from 1 species